UUAAAAUGUGACGCCUAAUACUUCGAUAAUUAUCUUUAAUCAAUUUCGGGUGCGUGCCUUCCUGCCUAAAUAGUCAAGCCCAAUUUAUUUUUGCGGUUAGUUAGGAUGACAACUUUCUUUCAUGAAGUGUGAAGAGCGCCAUGCAUCACACUACAGCUCCCCGUGUGUUUGAAGCUAGUAAUAACAGCGGUUUUGGGCGUGCGCACACUGAACCAGCUGUAGGACUGAGUGGAAGCGAGAUGAGAAUACUAAGCAGGCACCUCAUGGCUCAGCAUCAGCACCGGGCUGAGUUAGGAUUUGCGCACCCUCCAAACUUGGCUUGGGACCUCAGCAUGUGAACAGGCUUUGCAGACAGAGGAUCCACCUAGAAUGUCAGCUCUGAAGAAGGUGUUGCCAGGCAUACUGCAGAAGCAUUGCUGCAUCUUACCAGACAGGAACACAGGUGUGAAGAGGUUGCUGAUGAAAUUGAAGAGCAGGGAGAUAUACUCAGGUACCUGGCCGCAGUCCUCACAUUAAUGACUUCUACUUUUCUGUGCGUUCACUUUUGGCGCCUCAGCCUCUCUAACUUCUCGACUGCAAUGAGACUGCAUGCAUAUGGGCUGCCACACCAUCCAUCCCACUAACAAAACCUCACUAAUGCUGCUCCGCCAUUUGUCAUCUGCCUUCUGCAGUGCCCUCUGUUUUGCGCUUUGUUCUGCAAACCGUGCAAGACUGGUGUCUACCUUUAAAAUGCUAUGUUUUUCAGGCUCGUGGCUAGAAAGCUAAUAGCAAGGGCGCAGCAACCUUGGCUAUGAAGAGACAUUUGGAAACUUGUUACGAGGUGUUGGAGUUAUAACUGGUUAACUGUGAGGCAUUUCUCAGCAUGAAAUUAAUUUUUAAUAGGGCAUAUGGGCAAGCUUAUGUGCACUUAAGCAGAUAACAAACUUGACAAACCUGUAAAUCAGUAGUUUUACUGUUAUUUUAAGCAUAAAAGUUCUAUAAGCCAGACCUGGACCAAAUUUUAAUCCACUCUAUUUAUCUCUCUAUUUAAAAGGUGCCAGAUGGGUGGGGCUUGCUGUUAUGAAACAAUCCUCUUUUGCCUCACAAGUCAAAUCAAUUACAGAAAAUUGUCUGAAGACAUUUACAAAUGUUAGCUUAAGUUUUUGUGGAAUAUUUUACAAAACUUUUCACAAGAUUUCCCCCCACUGGAUAAGUUGCUGUGUGUUU